rnacentral:lncRNA from 1 species
UAUCACUACGAAGAUAUGGCGAAUAUCUUCAAGGAUAGGAAUCUAUCCUCCACCGAUCUUAUUGUUCUUUUACUUGAUACCUAUGUAAUGUUGACUUGCCUCAUCAGCCUUGAGGUGCGAAGAAUCAAGCUCCGCCCCAGCUCUGCUGCAUGGAUCAAUCCCAUCAUUGCUCAAGUCGUGAGAUACUAUCCAGACAACCCUCUCUGCAUUUCCAAGUGCCUCGCCGUUCUUCUCGUCGCAAUCUCCAGGGCAAAUUGCUUCCAUGGCAAGAAGCUGGGGGACUCUUGGAUAUGGCUUCCCAAUUACCUUCCUCGAUAUUUCCUGCGGUUAUAUAUGAAGCCACCAAUAUACAUUCCAGUAUAUCCAUGUCGCAUAUCAAACCAACGGACCAUCAAGCAUUCAAGUAUCUAGAUGCAGGCCUGUCUCAAAUAUAGAUCCCUGUUUUCACGCGAUGCAUCGUUCGAGCGUGACGGAACCAAGUUGAAGCAGAAUCGUGCUCAAACAUAGAGGACAGGCGAAAUAUUUUGAACGCUCUCUGUUUACGAGAAGCACCCAUUGUCCCUGCUCCCAUCCGGGUCCAGCACCAGCACCACAAAUUAUUGGUUCGGCUGCCAAACCAUUUCGAAUUCACGCUAGCAAUUCCCGGUGAUUGUGAACUGAUGGUAUCAACCAAAAAAAAAAAAAGGAAUUUGAACUGAGUCGCUGUGCGAGACUGUAUUCAAGGGUUACGAACUUGUUGCGGUCGACCGUUCCGCGUCACUGUACGUGUAUGUCUUGGAUAUUGUCAAUUCUAAGAUUAGUAGUCGACGACUUGAAAUAUGACUGAAACAUUAUCAUCAUGGAUAUGAUAGAGGACAGUGGAGAUUACCUCCAAUCGCCAUCUGCCUCAUCAUCUCCAUCCUGCUUUCGAUGGGCCUAGAUGCUAUGGCCUCCCUUUUGGAGAAGGUCAGGGGUUAUUGACCGCUCUUCAGGAUGACGGCGAAUGAAGUUUUCCUAAACAACAGAAAGCUAAAUCAAGAAGCACAGUACGCAUGCGCUAUUCGCGUUUCAGGCAGCAAAUGGAAGGCUCAAAUGGAUAGACUCUCGAAGUCCCGCAAGAGGUGGACAGCUACCCUGUGCACAUUCAUGGUGUAGUCAAUUAUUGUCCUCACUACUGAAAUGUUAUACUUCAUGGUCCGCCGUGGUCAACAGUGUGGUAUUGUUGACACAGAUGUUGUAUAUAUUUAUACAACAAGAUAUGAUUUCGGUAUUAGAAAGAAGUCCAAAGCGCAUUAAGGAUCAAGUUAGACGACAGUGGCGAGGAAACUGGCACGGAUGAGCAUUUGCCUUGCCUGGAAUCCAGGUUUCCCAAUCC